GCCUUUAUAGAUCAGUGUUAGAUCACCUCCGCUUCAUGUUUUAAUGCCUUUCCGCUGAGUGGUAUGAUUCGGAGGAGACGUAGGUUCGACUCCUACUGGGGGCG